rnacentral:rRNA from 1 species
ACACGACUACAUUAGAUACCCCGGUAGUCCCAGCCCUAAACGAUGCGCGUUAGGUGUAUCGGUGACCACGAGUUACCGAGGUGCCGAAGGGAAACCGUGAAACGUGCCGCCUGGGAAGUACGGUCGCAAGGCUGAAACUUAAAGGAAUUGGCGGGGGAGCACCACAACAGGUGGAGCCUGCGGUUUAAUUGGACUCAACGCCGGGAAGCUCACCGGAUAGGACAGCAGAAUGAUUGCCGGGCUGAAGACCCUGCAUGACUAGCUG